GACGAACGCUGGCGGCGUGCCUAAUACAUGCAAGUCGAGCGAACCGACGGGAGCUUGCUCCCUUAGGUUAGCGGCGGACGGGUGAGUAACACGUGGGUAACCUGCCUGUAAGACUGGGAUAACUCCGGGAAACCGGGGCUAAUACCGGAUGCUUGAUUGAACCGCAUGGUUCAAUUAUAAAAGGUGGCUUUUAGCUACCACUUACAGAUGGACCCGCGGCGCAUUAGCUAGUUGGUGAGGUAACGGCUCACCAAGGCGACGAUGCGUAGCCGACCUGAGAGGGUGAUCGGCCACACUGGGACUGAGACACGGCCCAGACUCCUACGGGAGGCAGCAGUAGGGAAUCUUCCGCAAUGGACGAAAGUCUGACGGAGCAACGCCGCGUGAGUGAUGAAGGUUUUCGGAUCGUAAAACUCUGUUGUUAGGGAAGAACAAGUAUCGUUCGAACAGGGCGGUACCUUGACGGUACCUAACCAGAAAGCCACGGCUAACUACGUGCCAGCAGCCGCGGUAAUACGUAGGUGGCAAGCGUUGUCCGGAAUUAUUGGGCGUAAAGCGCGCGCAGGCGGUUUCUUAAGUCUGAUGUGAAAGCCCCCGGCUCAACCGGGGAGGGCCAUUGGAAACUGGGGAACUUGAGUGCAGAAGAGGAGAGUGGAAUUCCACGUGUAGCGGUGAAAUGCGUAGAGAUGUGGAGGAACACCAGUGGCGAAGGCGACUCUCUGGUCUGUAACUGACGCUGAGGCGCGAAAGCGUGGGGAGCGAACAGGAUUAGAUACCCUGGUAGUCCACGCCGUAAACGAUGAGUGCUAAGUGUUAGAGGGUUUCCGCCCUUUAGUGCUGCAGCAAACGCAUUAAGCACUCCGCCUGGGGAGUACGGUCGCAAGACUGAAACUCAAAGGAAUUGACGGGGGCCCGCACAAGCGGUGGAGCAUGUGGUUU
rnacentral:rRNA from 1 species